AACGAACGCUGGCGGCAUGCCUAACACAUGCAAGUCGAACGAGAUCUUCGGGUCUAGUGGCGCACGGGUGCGUAACGCGUGGGAAUCUGCCCUUUGGUUCGGAAUAACAGUUGGAAACGACUGCUAAUACCGGAUGAUGACGAAAGUCCAAAGAUUUAUCGCCAGAGGAUGAGCCCGCGUAGGAUUAGCUAGUUGGUAUGGUAAAGGCGCACCAAGGCGACGAUCCUUAGCUGGUCUGAGAGGAUGAUCAGCCACACUGGGACUGAGACACGGCCCAGACUCCUACGGGAGGCAGCAGUGGGGAAUAUUGGACAAUGGGCGAAAGCCUGAUCCAGCAACGCCGCGUGAGUGAUGAAGGCCUUAGGGUUGUAAAGCUCUUUUACCCGGGAUGAUAAUGACAGUACCGGGAGAAUAAGCUCCGGCUAACUCCGUGCCAGCAGCCGCCGCGG
rnacentral:rRNA from 1 species